rnacentral:lncRNA from 1 species
GGCGUGGUGUGGACGUGGUGGGCGGGGCAGGGUGUGUUGGGCGUGGUGAGGAGCACCCCAGCUGCAUCAAGAGGCAGACAGAGCCCAGAACUCCAGCUCCGUGCUGUGGCCCCCGCCUGGGCCGGGUCUGCCCUGUCCACUCCCUUCCAGCCUGGAACCCUCACAGGGCCCAGGUGGUGAGUGGCCACACCAGCCCAAGGGACAAAAAAGUCCUGUCCUUCUCGAGACCAAACAGGUGAGGUGUGGAAACCCAAGGGUGGCAUGCCCACCUGUGACAUCUCAUAGGACAUGCUGAUUCCAGAGCUGGGGACACCCCGGGGGGCCUACGGCUGACGAAUUUCCAAACUGCGGGUGCCCCCUGAAGACAGAGAGGAGGCUGCGGGCCAGGACCCCCGCUCCACAAGAGCAUUUUCAUGUGCACCCGACCCACAUCUGGGCUGUGUAACGUCCGAGAGAAUUCUCUAGAGAUUCAUCCAGGUCGUGUGUACUCGCCGUUCCUUCCUGAUCACUGCUGCGUAGUAUUCCACAGCCGGGAUGUGCCACUGUUUGUCGAUCCAUUCACCUGCGUGCAGAAGGACAUCUGGGUCGUGUCCAGUUUUGGGACAUUAGGAAUAAAGCUCCUGUAAACAUUCACAUCCAGGUUUUGGUGAGAACACGAGUCUUCAUUUCUCCGGGAUAGAUGCCCAGGAGUGAAAUGACAGGACUGGGUCGAAUGGUAGCGUGUCUGCUUUUUGAAGAAACUGCCAACCUUUUUGCCCCGUUUUGCAUUCCCAUCGGCAAUGUAGGAGUGAUCCAGUUUCUCCACGUCCACACCAGCAUUCAGUGUUGUCACUAUUUUUAAUUUUAGCCGUGCUCAUAGGGGAGUGGCGAUAUCUCCUUGUGGUUGGAAUUUGCAUUUCCCGAAUAGCUAAUGAUCUCUUGGUCUCUGGUUUAAAAAAGAAAUGUUUUGAACUGC